UUCUGGAAGUCAAACUGAUCACAGCAUGCGCGCAUGGCAAACCAUGGUAAACCAACCAUCCAAUAAUAUUAUUAAUACAAGUCGUCAAGCAAAACGACCUGACCAAGUCUCUUAGCCCUCUGAACUUCUCUAUAUAAUUGAGUAAUUCAAAGGCUAGCAGCAAGUACAUUAACAGUGCUUGAAAGAUGAGAGAUUUCUUCCUAAUUCUUAUGUCGUUUGCUAUUCUUGGAACUUACACCACUACCACUUUUGCUCGAGCAAGGACUUUCAAAGGUGAGAUGACAUGAAGACUCAGAGUGAAAAAGGUUGAAAACAUGACCCGGACAAAGUGGCAAAAAGUUGUGGCAUUCACAUCAUGCCAGUAUGCCAUUGGUCGCUACUUCCAUGCGGAGUCCAGAGAAAGGUGUGGUUCAUUUCCUCGAACUCAUUUUAAGGCUAAAACUCGAAAACCAUAUGGGCCACUGUUCAAAAAGCUUUUAGUGGUGGGCCGGGCAUUUGAUUGAAUAUUUUUGCUGUUAAAUCUACUUAGCAUUUUGAGGUCACAGCUUAAUCACAUGGACUUAAUAAAUAAAUAAAUAAAAUCAUCUUCGAUGAAAAUCUAAAAUGACUCAAAAAAAAAAAAAAGCCACGUUUGGUAUCCUAUUCAAAAAAAUUAAACUAAAAAAUUAUGAUUCUUUUUAAAAAGAUGAGUUUUCAAAUAUUGAUUUUAGGAUCUAAAAACUUGUUGGGUAUUUGAACUCCAAAUUAUUUUUAAGAUCUAAAAAAAAAGACAAACGAGAGAGAGGGAGG